UACGUAGGGGGCGAGCGUUGUCCGGAUUUACUGGGCGUAAAGAGCGCGCAGGCGGUCGGAUCAGUCGAAUGUGAAAGCCCCCCGGCUCAACUGGGGAGGGUCAUUCGAUACUGUCCGACUCGAAGGCAGGAGAGGGAAGCGGAAUUCCCGGUGUAGUGGUGAAAUGCGUAGAUAUCGGGAGGAACACCAGUGGCGAAGGCGGCUUUCUGGCCUGUUCUUGACGCUGAGGCGCGAAAAGCUAGGGGAGCGAACGGG
rnacentral:rRNA from 1 species